UGCGUAGGCGGUCGCGCAAGUCGGAUGUGAAAUCUCGGGGCUCAACCCCGAAACUGCAUUCGAUACUGCGUGGCUAGAGUGCUGGAGGGGAGACUGGAAUUUACGGUGUAGCAGUGAAAUGCGUAGAUAUCGUAAGGAAGACCAGUGGCGAAGGCGAGUCUCUGGACAGCAACUGACGCUGAGGCACGAAGGCCAGGGGAGCAAACG
rnacentral:rRNA from 1 species